rnacentral:rRNA from 1 species
GCUGGCGGCAGGCUUACACAUGCAAGUCGAGCGGAGAGAGGUAGCUUGCUACUGAUCUUAGCGGCGGACGGGUGAGUAAUGCUUAGGAAUCUGCCUAUUAGUGGGGGACAACAUUUCGAAAGGAAUGCUAAUACCGCAUACGUCCUACGGGAGAAAGCAGGGGAUCUUCGGACCUUGCGCUAAUAGAUGAGCCUAAGUCGGAUUAGCUAGUUGGUGGGGUAAAGGCCUACCAAGGCGACGAUCUGUAGCGGGUCUGAGAGGAUGAUCCGCCACACUGGGACUGAGACACGGCCCAGACUCCUACGGGAGGCAGCAGUGGGGAAUAUUGGACAAUGGGCGCAAGCCUGAUCCAGCCAUGCCGCGUGUGUGAAGAAGGCCUUAUGGUUGUAAAGCACUUUAAGCGAGGAGGAGGCUACUUUAGUUAAUACCUAGAGAUAGUGGACGUUACUCGCAGAAUAAGCACCGGCUAACUCUGUGCCAGCAGCCGCGGUAAUACAGAGGGUGCAAGCGUUAAUCGGAUUUACUGGGCGUAAAGCGCGCGUAGGCGGCUAAUUAAGUCAAAUGUGAAAUCCCCGAGCUUAACUUGGGAAUUGCAUUCGAUACUGGUUAGCUAGAGUGUGGGAGAGGAUGGUAGAAUUCCAGGUGUAGCGGUGAAAUGCGUAGAGAUCUGGAGGAAUACCGAUGGCGAAGGCAGCCAUCUGGCCUAACACUGACGCUGAGGUGCGAAAGCAUGGGGAGCAAACAGGAUUAGAUACCCUGGUAGUCCAUGCCGUAAACGAUGUCUACUAGCCGUUGGGGCCUUUGAGGCUUUAGUGGCGCAGCUAACGCGAUAAGUAGACCGCCUGGGGAGUACGGUCGCAAGACUAAAACUCAAAUGAAUUUGACGGGGGCCCGCACAAGCGGUGGAGCAUGUGGUUUAAUUCGAUGCAACGCGAAGAACCCUUACCUGGGCCUUGACAUAGUAAGAACU